rnacentral:rRNA from 1 species
UACGUAGGGUGCGAGCGUUAAUCGGAAUUACUGGGCGUAAAGCGUGCGCAGGCUGUUCUGUAAGUCAGAUGUGAAAUCCCCCGAGCUCAACUUGGGAACUGCGUUUGAAACUACAGGACUAGAAUAUGUCAGAGGGGGGGUAGAAUUCCACGUGUAGCAGUGAAAUGCGUAGAGAUGUGGAGGAACACCGAUGGCGAAGGCAGCCUUCAUGG